GCCCAGCCGUAAACACAAAGGAUACUUUACACAUCCUUCGCCAGGGAACAACGAGCUUUAGCUUAAAACCCAAAGGACUUGGCGGUUCUUCAGACCACCUAGAGGAGCCUGUUCUAGAAUCGAUAUUCCCCGUUCAACCUCACCCCCUCUUGUUAUUUCCGCCUAUAUACCGCCGUCGUCAGCUUACCCUGUAAAGGUAAAAUAGUAAGCAAAAUUGGUAUAACCUAAUACGUCAGGUCAAGGUGUAGCUUACGAGGAGGGAAGAAAUGGGCUACAUUUGCUAACCUAGCAAACACGAACGUUGCACUGAAAUAAGCAUCUGAAGGAGGAUUUAGCAGUAAGGGGAGAAUAGAGCGCCCCCCUGAAAAUGGCCCUGAAGCGCGC
rnacentral:rRNA from 1 species